rnacentral:rRNA from 1 species
UAAGUUCCCGGGGUCCGUUGUUACACACCGCCCGUCACACCACGAGAGUUUACAACACCCGAAGUCGGUGGGGUAACCCGCAAGGGGCCAGCCGCCGAAGGUGGGGUAGAUGAUUGGGGUG